UUCCUUCUCCAUUUCUCAUUCGUCUUUGUCACACAUGCAGCUGAACACACAAGCUCUAUGAAGGAGUGAAAGCCAGCACACAGGUGGCACCAAGUUUUGGUGCCAGCUUUAUGUUCGUUUCUCUCUGCUUGUGGAAAAGGAAGCUUCUAUGGGGGAUGUAUCCAGGAGUACAGUUACAGUGAUUCUCUUCUGAGGACAAAUCACGUUGUUUCUGAUGAGGAAGAAUGGAAGGCAACUCAAUUGUUAGUGCUUUUUCUUUUUUCUUUCUUUGUCUGGAUUUGCUCAGAACGUGGCUUAGCUUUGCUGGGUGUUCUAAAAAAGAUUUGCAAAGUCAAAUUCUGACAACGACGUGCUGUGCAACUCCAGUGCCGCUGUUAACGUUGAUGUAAUUGUAUUAAUAAUACCAUGCACUGAGGAUACUUUGGUUGUGACCAUAGACCUCAGUUAAUAUGUAAACUCCAAGGUUGGUUUAAUAAAGCUGGUGGUCCUUUACAAAUA